UUCCGUAGGUGAACCUGCGGAGGGAUCAUUACACAACAAAAUAUGAAGGCCUGGCUUUCGCGGCCGGCUGAAGUAUUUUUUUUCACCCCAUGUCUUUUGCGCACUUGUUGUUUCCUGGGCGGGUUCGCCCGCCACCAGGACCAAACCAUAAACCUUUUUUUCUUAUGCAGUUUCCAUCAGCGUCAGUAAAAACAAUGUAAUUAUUACAACUUUCAACAACGGAUCUCUUGGUUCUGGCAUCGAUGAAGAACGCAGCGAAAUGCGAUACGUAGUGUGAAUUGCAGAAUUCAGUGAAUCAUCGAAUCUUUGAACGCACAUUGCGCCCUUUGGUAUUUCAAAAGGCAUGCCUGUUUGAGAGUCCAUGUACCUUCCAAGCUUUGCUUGGUGUUGGGCGUUUUUUUGUCUCCCUCUUUCUGGGAGACUCGCCUUAAAACGAUUGGCAGCCGGCCUACUGGUUUCGGAGCGCAGCACAUUUUUUGCGCUUUGUAUCAGGAGAAAAGGACGGUACUCCAUCAAGACUCUACAUUUUUCACUUUUGACCUCGGAAUCCCGGGAG
rnacentral:rRNA from 1 species